rnacentral:lncRNA from 1 species
CCGUCUGAUAUGAAAGUGGUUGCAUUUUUGUUUAUUUUUAAUAUUUAAAUUGUAUUCAUUCUCAACCUUUAUUUACAUUAUGUUAAGAAUGAACACAGAUGCGGCCACUUUCACUUUUAAAUUAAAUAUCUGAAAAAUGACAUAGCAAAGAAGAAUACGGGAUAAUUUGUCAGGAUAGGGUAAAAUGUCUUCCUGUUGACUGAGUACCAUGUGAACUAUCCUUAAAAUCUGGCUUUCCGUGUCUGUCUAGUUCACAGUAAGGGUCUUAUUUAAUGUACUGUUCCAGUUUUGAUAUGCAUGAGAUAUUGUCCCCCAUCAAGGUCACAAACAGCCAUACAAUGUCUUAUAUGUCAUAACAAGUUAUUUACCAGCUCGAAACCUUUUUGAGUAAACCGACAAACAAACAUGUUGUUACUUUUUUUGUUUUUUUUUUUUUUUUGUUUGUUUUUUUGUUUUUGUUGUAAUUUACCCUUCCGGAGCACCUGAGAUCACCCCUAGUUUUUUGGUGGGGUUCGUGUUGUUUAUUCUUUACACAAUGUUAGUUUUCUGUGUUGUGUCAUGUGUGCUGUUGUUUGUUUGUCUUUUUCAUUUUUAGCCAUGGCGUUGUCAGUUUGUUUUAGAUUUAUGAGUUUGACUGUCCCUUUGGUAUCUUUCGUUCCUCUUUUUUUGUAAUAUUUGAGAUGAAACUGAACCAGUACUGAACAAGCCAUUUACAGGUAAUUACACGUUCAUCAGACAUUUUAAACAGUCAGGUCAGGAUAAAAGCUCC